rnacentral:sRNA from 1 species
UGAGCAAGUGUGGGAUCUGGCCAGCACAGCUCGGAGUGCCAGCAGGAGCAAGCCCUGUGUGGGGUCCGCGGCCAGAUCAGGCAUGAGCUAGCGAGUGUGGGAUCCGGCCAGCCACUCUGGGAGCUGCCAGGAGCAAACUCCAUGAAGGGCCCGUGGAGGCACCCAGAUUACAGGUCCACCAGGUUGUGGAAAAACUCAGUUUUGUAUAAUGAUGAGCAUUUUGGCUACAUUACCCACCAACAUGGGAGGAUUAGAAGGAGCUGUGGUGUACAUUGACACAGAGUCUGCAUUUAGUGCUGAAAGACUGGUUGAAAUAGCAGAAUCCCGUUUUCCCAGAUAUUUUAACACUGAAGAAAAGUUACUUUUGACAAGUAGUAAAGUUCAUCUUUAUCGGGAACUCACCUGUGAUGAAGUUCUACAAAGGAUUGAAUCUUUGGAAGAAGAAAUUAUCUCAAAAGGAAUUAAACUUGUGAUUCUUGACUCUGUUGCUUCUGUGGUCAGAAAGGAGUUUGAUGCACAACUUCAAGGCAAUCUCAAAGAAAGAAACAAGUUCUUGGCAAGAGAGGCAUCCUCCUUGAAGUAUUUGGCUGAGGAGUUUUCAAUCCCAGUAAGUUU